rnacentral:rRNA from 1 species
UUGGAGGGCAAGUCUGGUGCCAGCAGCCGCGGUAAUUCCAGCUCCAAUAGCGUAUAUUAAGGUUGUUGCAGUUAAAAAGCUCGUAGUUGAAUUUCGGGAUCAGAGUGUCGGUCGUGCCUCGGUACGUACUGGUAUUAUUGGUUCCUACCUUCUGAAGAACCGCGAUGUCAUUAAUUUGGUGUCGUGGGGAAUCAGGACUGUUACUUUGAAAAAAUUAGAGUGUUUAAAGCAGGCUUACGCUUGAAUACAUUAGCAUGGAAUAAUGAAAUAGGACGUUUGAUUCUAUUUUGUUGGUUUCUAGGAUUGACGUAAUGAUUAAUAGGGAUAGUUGGGGGCAUUAGUAUUCAAUUGUCAGAGGUGAAAUUCUUGGAUUUAUUGAAGACUAACUACUGCGAAAGCAUUUGCCAAGGAUGUUUUCAUUAAUCAAGAACGAAAGUUAGGGGAUCGAAGACGAUCAGAUACCGUCGUAGUCUUAACCAUAAACUAUGCCGACUAGGGAUCGGAUGAUGUUAAUUUUUUAAUGACUCAUUCGGCGCCUUACGGGAAAC